rnacentral:rRNA from 1 species
UACGUAGGGUGCAAGCGUUGUCCGGAAUUACUGGGCGUAAAGGGCGUGUAGGCGGCCAACUAAGUCCGACGUGAAAUCCCCAGGCUUAACCUGGGAACUGCGUCGGAUACUGGAUGGCUUGAAUCCGGGAGAGGGAUGCGGAAUUCCAGGUGUAGCGGUGAAAUGCGUAGAUAUCUGGAGGAACACCGGUGGCGAAGGCGGCAUCCUGGACCGGCAUUGACGCUAAAGCGCGAAAGCCAGGGGAGCAAACGGG